rnacentral:rRNA from 1 species
UACAGAGGGGGCGAGCGUUAUUCGGAAUUAUUGGGCGUAAAGGGCGCGUAGGCGGCCAUUCAAGUGACGGGUGAAAGCCCUCGGCUUAACCGAGGAACUGCCUGUCAGACUGGAUGGCUUGAGACCGGGAGAGGUGAGUGGAAUUCCCAGUGUAGCGGUGAAAUGCGUAGAUAUCGGGAGGAACACCUGUGGCGAAAGCGGCUCACUGGACCAUUACUGACGCUGAGGCGCGAAAGCUAGGGGAGCAAACAGG